rnacentral:rRNA from 1 species
ACAGCCGUACCGUGCUGAAUAUAUCGGUUCUCGUUAGAUCACCGAAGUCAAGCAUCAUUGGGCGCGGUCAGUACUUGGGUGGGUGACCACCUGGGAACACUGCGUGCCGUU